rnacentral:rRNA from 1 species
CCCCUAUAUUUCAAUCAUUGACCUCGGAUCAGGUAGGGAUACCCGCUGAACUUAAGCAUAUCAAUAAGCGGAGGAAAAGAAACCAACAGGGAUUGCCUCAGUAACGGCGAGUGAAGCGC